rnacentral:misc_RNA from 1 species
UUAAGUUCAGCGGGUAAUCCUACCUGAUUUGAGAUCGAACGUUCAAAAAGCUGUCUUCACUGAGGAAAGACUUUUGUGAGCUCCAGUGAACCCCCAUUGCUGAAGGUUAUCUGGCAGACAGCCACAAGCGUAGAUAGUUAUCACACCCGUGACGUCACCAAACACUGGUGAGCUGAUCGAUUUGAGAGGAGCUGACCAAA